GAGGGUAUCGCUCAGUGGUGGAGUGCAUGCCUAGCAUACAUGAGGUUCAGAGUUCAACCCCUGGUACCUCCA
rnacentral:tRNA from 1 species